AGCCUUCUCCGUUCUGAGAUUUUGUCACACGCUAGACCACAAGGGCUGAUGAGACUUCCAAGAUAAGUAAAGCA
rnacentral:pre_miRNA from 1 species